rnacentral:rRNA from 1 species
AGUGAAGCGGGAUGAGCUCAAAUUUAAAAUCUGGCUGGUUUACUAGUCCGAAUUGUAGUUUAAAGAAGUGUUUUCGGUGGCAGCCUGGGUAUAAAUCCUUUGGAACAGGGUAUCAUAGAGGGUGAGAAUCCCGUCUUUGACUCAGUGCAUGCUACUAUGUGAUACAUUUUCAAAGAGUCGAGUUGUUUGGGAAUGCAGCUCAAAAUGGGUGGUAAAUUUCAUCUAAGGCUAAAUAUUGGCGAGAGACCGAUAGCGAACAAGUACCGUGAGGGAAAGAUGAAAAGAACUUUGAAAAGAGAGUUAAACAGUGCGUGAAAUUGUUGAAAGGGAAACGCUUGACACCAGUCAUGCGAGCGGAAAAUCAGUCUUUUGCAGUGGGGGGUUGUGUGGGAUCGGACCGCAAGGCCGGCCUAUGCUGCAUCUCUGCUGUAAGUGAUGCACUUUUUCGUUUGCAGGCCAACAUCAGUUUCUUCUGCUGGACAAAACUCUUGAGAAGGUAGCAGCUUUGGCUGUGUUAUAGCUCUUGAGCGAUACAGUGGAGGGGACUGAGGUUUUCGCAGCGCGUGCUUUCGGGCAAGGCUGAUUGGGUGCUAUGGGAUCGUUCGGUGUACAAUGCAUGCAUUUUGCGCCGUGUCUUUUCUGUACUCGCUCAACUCGGCUCUUCCGCGCUUAGGAUGUUGGCUUAAUGGUUUUAAUCGACCCGUCUUGAAACACGGACCAAGGAGUCUAACAUAUAUGCAAGUGUUUGGGUGGCAAACCCAUGCGCGUAAUGAAAGUGAACGUAGGUGCCAUCCGCAAGGUGCAGCAUCGACCGAUCUUGAUAUUUUUGGAUAGAUUUGAGUAAGAGCAUAUAUGCUGGGACCCGAAAGAUGGUGAACUAUGCCUGAAUAGGGUGAAGCCAGAGGAAACUCUGGUGGAGGCUCGUAGCGAUUCUGACGUGCAAAUCGAUCGUCAAAUUUGGGUAUAGGGGCGAAAGACUAAUCGAACC